rnacentral:lncRNA from 1 species
AGUCUCCAUGCCCUGGCUAAGUGCCACCUUUCUGUCACCUUUUGGCCAAGUUACUACAGAUUCAAAACCCAAAGUGGGAGAUGCAAUGUGAAUUCCUCUCAGUUUCCAGGACCUCGGAGACAAUGGGCGUUCCUGUCGCGCUCUCCUGCCCGGUGCCUCUCGGAGCUGCUUUGUGCCCAGAGUAGAUUCUGUGGAAGGAGGCAGCACGACCAGCGUCCCUCUCUUUCCCUCGUUCCAGAUCCAUCCCUGCACCUUCUAAUUGGGAUGAGUUGCACUCAAGUCACUUUUGUAAAGUCGUUUUGCGAUGAAAGGAGCACAGAACAUCAGCUUUUCCUCAGAGCCCAGCCACGCACCCCCAGGGCUGCUGUUCUCCCAGCACCAUGCAUGUUACAGAUUACAGGUCUGAUUCGGAGCACAUCCCAUGCCCACAGUGACCACUGCUCAGAUCUGGCUUCCCUGCUCUCACCUCUCUGCUCACCUCGUCCUGCAGACCUGCCUCCCUAGAAAGAGAAGCCUGGCAUCCAUACACAGCUGGUCCUAAACGACCUGCUCAGCAGGUUAUUCACCAACCGCAGACUCAAAAUAUCAAAAUUGGCGUUAAAAACUGUCGUGACCCCAUCAGUUAAGGGAACAGACACACAAAACACAGGGAAAGACAUUUGAUAUCUGAUUAUCUGCGUGAAUAAGGGGAAGAGAGAGAGGAAAGACUGGAGGUGGAGAAGAUCAAUCCGUUAGUUGGUCAGGCAUCUCACGUGCAUCCCACGCCUCUUGUGCCCCACGGCCCGCUCCGUCCAGGUCUGCCCUGACAGAGGCCUGCGGGAGCAGACAUUCUCAGAUUAGAAGGCCCACUCAGGGGUGAUUGAAAGCAGACACUUAGGAAGAUUGGUUUUAGGCUCUGAAGGCUAAUGGCAACCACUGUGACUUCCCUGCCAGCACGCCCCGACUUCAUCUUCCUAAGUGAUAACUAACGACGCUUCACCUGCAUCGUCUGGAAGCAAGGGAGCUUGGGCCAUCCCUGCCAGUCAGUGACCUGCAAGGAGAACGUCAACCUCUCGUAAUCCAAGAUAUUAAAAUUAAUAAGGAGAGGGGCCAGCCCAGUGGCAUAGUGAUUAAGUUGGCGCACUCUGCUUUUUGGGCCCAGGUUCACUGGUUCAGACCAACUGCAGACCUGCAGCGCUCAUCAGCCAGGCUGUGCCAGCGUCCCGCGCACGAAAUAGAG